CACGUAAUAAUUGUACAUAUUUGUGGGGUACGUAGUGAUGUUUCUGUACGUGUAUAGUGAUCAGAUGAGGGUAAUUAGCAUACCUAUCAUCUCAAACAUUUAUUAUUUCUUUGCAUUAGGAACACUCAAUAUUCUCCUUCAAGCUAUCUGAAAAUACAUAAUUUUUGUUUUGAGACAGGGUCUCACUCUGUUGCUGUCUUCACGGCGAGCAGGAGCAGAGGCUUUGGGAAGCCAGUGGGCCUUGGCCUCAGCCCUGCCGGCAGAGGGUCCCCACCAUGCAGCUGAAGUGCCAGGGUGCUUGUGAAGUCUAAGCGCUUGUCUGGCAUUUGUCAGGAAUAUAGGGUGAGGCCUCUGGGACCGAGCGGGGCGGGGCGGGGCGGGGCGGGACCAACAGCGCAUACUUAAGCGGCCCGGGCGGGUACCGCCGUCCCGCCAUGGCUCUGAGGCGCGCCCUGCCCGCGCUGCGCCCCUGCAUUCCCCGCUUCGUCCCGCUGUCCACGGCGCCGGCCUCCCGCGAGCAGCCCGCAGCGGGCCCAGCGGCCGUGCCAGGAGGUGGGUCGGCCAGGGCAGUGCGGCCGCCGGUGCCCGCCGUGGACUUUGGCAACGCGCAGGAGGCGUACCGCAGCCGGCGAACCUGGGAGCUGGCGCGCAGCCUGCUGGUGCUGCGCUUGUGCGCCUGGCCCGCGCUGCUGGCGCGCCACGAGCAGCUGCUGUAUGUUUCCAGGAAACUUCUAGGACAGAGGCUAUUCAACAAGCUCAUGAAGAUGACCUUCUAUGGGCAUUUUGUAGCCGGGGAGGACCAGGAGUCCAUCCAGCCCCUGCUUCGGCACUACAGGGCCUUCGGUGUCAGCGCCAUCCUGGACUAUGGAGUGGAGGAGGACCUGAGCCCCGAGGAGGCAGAGCACAAGGAGAUGGAGUCCUGCACCUCAGCUGCGGAGAGGGAUGGCAGUGGCACGAGUAAGCGGGACAAGCAAUACCAGGCCCACCGGGCCUUCGGGGACCGCAGGAAUGGUGUCAUCAGUGCCCGCACCUACUUCUACGCCAAUGAGGCCAAGUGCGACAGCCACAUGGAGACAUUCUUGCGCUGCAUCGAAGCCUCAGGUAGAGUCAGCGAUGACGGCUUCAUAGCCAUUAAGCUCACGGCACUGGGGAGACCCCAGUUUCUGCUGCAGUUCUCAGAGGUGCUGGCCAAGUGGAGGUGCUUCUUUCACCAAAUGGCUGUGGAGCAAGGGCAGGCGGGCCUGGCUGCCAUGGACACCAAGCUGGAGGUGGCGGUGCUGCAGGUGGGGCAGCCUUCCCCUUCCCUACUCCCGUGGCUUGUGAGGGGUGGGCACCGUGGGGUCACACAGGGCAUGGUGGGCAGUGGUCGGAGGUGGUUUUGGGAACUCACCCAGGGCACGUGGCUCACUCUGCAGCUGCUGGGGUUGGCCUGGUGGGGAGGAGGAGGUCGGAGGGACUCUGAACAGAGAGGGGAGAUGCUGGCAGGAGGGCUGGAGACCCAGCCCUGCAGGGCGUGGGCGUGCAUCAGCAGCGGGGUGGGAAUAGACCUGUCUAUGCAGUAGAAACAAACCAGACAUGGAUCCUGUUCUUACUAACGAUGCAAUAAAGCCAGAAACAGCACCAGAGGCCAAUGGGUGGGGGGAAGGAUAAAAUAUGAGUGAAUGGGGCUGAUCCAGGCCUUCUCACUUCUCAAGGAAAGUGUCGCAAAGAUGGGCAUCGCAUCCAGGGCUGAGAUUGAGGACUGGUUCACGGCAGAGACCCUGGGAGUGUCUGGGUGAGAGCAGCCCCCAGGCUGAGAGGACACGAGCAUCAGCCAUGGUUCCAGCCAAGCCCCAGUGACGUCUCCCAGUCCUGGCUGCCCUGCCUGAGAGGGUGGGCCCUGGGAUGACAGUGCUGAAGGAACUGCUUUUCACACAGCAGGACUUGAUGGCUUCAGGAGUCCCUGAGGCUGGGGCUGGGCUGGGCAGGGGAGACACAGGGCCAGCACAGACCCCAUAGAGGGCUCUUUAUAGAAUUAUCUGGGUCUAGAGCAAAGGUGGCACUCUCAGCCCUCCCUGGAGUCCACGCUGGCAGGUGAAGGAUCAGAGCCCCAUGCCCCAUCCUUGGAGCCAGGGGCUGGGACCCAGGUCACCAGGAGCCUCCAGUUGAAGUGGGGAGGUGACUGGGGUGGUGCAGUAGUGAGCCAUCCCCUCACACACUGUCAGCCUUGCCCACUGUGUCCUCCCUGGCCCCCCAGAGCUGUGUCCGCCUCCUGCCUGGCUGCCUGUGCUCGGCCCGUCCACAAGCCCAAAACAGCCCUAGGGUACUCAGUGUUUUCAGAGCCGCCUAGAUGCAGGACUGUUUGUGUUUUGGUUUUAAAUUUUUUAAAUUAAUU
ensembl:lincRNA